AUUGAACGCUGGCGGCAGGCUUAACACAUGCAAGUCGAACGGUAGCAGGAGAAAGCUUGCUUUCUUGCUGACGAGUGGCGGACGGGUGAGUAAUGCUUGGGAAUCUGGCUUAUGGAGGGGGAUAACUACGGGAAACUGUAGCUAAUACCGCGUAAUAUCUUCGGAUUAAAGAAUGGGACUUUUAGCCAUUCGCCAUAAGAUGAGCCCAAGUGGGAUUAGGUAGUUGGUGGGGUAAAGGCCUACCAAGCCGACGAUCUCUAGCUGGUCUGAGAGGAUGACCGGCCACACUGGAACUGAGACGCGGACCUGACUCCUAAGGGAGGCAGCAGUGGGGAAUAUUGCGCAAUGGGGGCAACCCUGACGCAGCCAUGCCGAGUGAAUGAAGAAGGCCUUCGGGUUGUAAAGUUCUUUCGGUGGUGAGGAAGGCUAAUAUGUUAAUAGCAUAUUAGAUUGACGUUAGCCACAGAAGAAGCACCGGCUAACUCCGUG
rnacentral:rRNA from 1 species